AGUCAAAAUGUUUGCAAUUUGGACAUGACCGUAGCUGAAACCAAGUUUGCAGUGAUUGUGCUAAACUAUUUGUCCAUUGAGCCGCAGGUAAUCCAGAACACAAGGCUAAGGGGAGGCGACGACAAGAAGAAGAUACAAGGAAAGUGGUGAGAAGAUGUCGAGGAUGCCUACUUGGGAUAUUCAAAUAACCACAAUAUAAAAAUUUCUGAACCUAUGUCUCAUAGGAGAGUGGAAUGAACUCCAUUGUUAGCAGAUGUGCCACUGUUCUAUUGUGCAAUUCUGUCCGUUCUUGCUAUAUUCCCGUGUAAGGAAAUUUAUUCAU